rnacentral:rRNA from 2 species
UUGCUAGAACUUAGAGACAGGUGCUGCACGGCUGUCGUCAGCUCGUGUCGUGAGAUGUUGGGUUAAGUCCCGCAACGAGCGCAACCCACGUAUUUAGUUGCUAACGGUUCGGCCGAGCACUCUAAAUAGACUGCCUUCGUAAGGAGGAGGAAGGUGUGGACGACGUCAAGUCAUCAUGGCCCUUAUGCCCAGGGCGACACACGUGCUACAAUGGCAUAUACAAUGAGACGCAAUACCGCGAGGUGGAGCAAAUCUAUAAAAUAUGUCCCAGUUCGGAUUGUUCUCUGCAACUCGAGAGCAUGAAGCCGGAAUCGCUAGUAAUCGUAGAUCAGCCAUGCUACGGUGAAUACGUUCCCGGGUCUUGUACUCACCGCCCGUCACACCAUGGGAGUUGAUUUCACUCGAAGCCGGAAUACUAAACUAGUUACCGUCCACAGUGGAAUCAGCGACUGGGGUGAAGUCGUAACAAGGUAACCGUAGGAGAACCUGCGGUUGGAUCACCUCCUUUCUAG